rnacentral:rRNA from 1 species
CAGCAGCCACGGUAAUACGUAGGUGGCAAGCGUUGUCCGGAAUUAUUGGGCGUAAAGGGCUCGCAGGCGGUUUCUUAAGUCUGAUGUGAAAGCCCCCGGCUCAACCGGGGAGGGUCAUUGGAAACUGGGAAACUUGAGUGCAGAAGAGGAGAGUGGAAUUCCACGUGUAGCGGCGAAAUGCGUAGAGAUGUGGAGGAACACCAGUGGCGAAGGCGACUCUCUGGUCUGUAACUGACGCUGAGGAGCGAAAGCGUGGGGAGCGAACAGGAUUAGAUACCCCAGUAGUCCCUGUCUCUUAUAC